AGGAUGAGAACCAUCCUGGGGUCCAAUCAGCAUGCGCGCCCGGAAUGGACGAGCCCUCCUCUCUGCACCCAAUCAUCUGCGAAUGUGCCCUACAAAACAUCCGGCCAGUGCCACCCAAACCCCAGGUGCCCUGACUCUGGCGCUCCUGCCUGGUGAUGGCCGACAGAGCACUGACAGGCACGUCCAGGGCAGGGCUGCUCCCCCGCGUCCCGCCCUCCCCAAACAUCUCUGACGGACGGUUGGCUGCAGCCCAGGAAGCACUUUUGCACCGUGGCCUGCAUCCCAGCCCUGCCCCGCCGAGCUGGAAGGAGGGCUGUGAAGAAUUCCCUGGCUCCCUUGCUAGCCUAAAAACAAGCCCAC